UUGUUUUUCAUAUUAUAUUUCAAUAAAGCAAAAUCACAACAACCAAAAUAAAUCUCCAGCGAAUCAACUUAGUAGAAACGUUGCAUAUAAGAACACAUUUUAAUUGAUUAUGUCAUGUAAUGAGACAUCUGUGCUAGCCGACACAGUGACCAAGCGAAAAAACCAACUAAUCAAGUAAAAGGUGGAUUAAGCGACUUGCAUGUACCCUCAGCUCCCCACAAACUAGAGGAAUAAUGUGGGACAUAAUUUUAAAGUAUGAAAUAAUUAAAAAUCAUUUUGCUGGCUCGAACUCGGGACAUUUGUGUUGAGAAGCAGAAAUAUAUGCUGUGUGCCACAAAAACUUACACACUCUUUCAGGCAAAAUGUUAUGUUAAAUUAUGCUCACUUCCACUGCUGUUAACAUUGUGUC